UACCCUCUCCACACACAAGAUUAAUAUUAGAUCAUAAAAAUACCGUAAAGGUGCAUCUGUCUCCGACAUGUGUCUUAACCACAGGAUACAGGUUGUGUGUGAAUGCUAAUGAAAAUAAAGGGAACUUACACA